rnacentral:misc_RNA from 1 species
ACAAACUUGGUCAUUUAGAGGAAGUAAAAGUCGUAACAAGGUUUCCGUAGGUGAACCUGCGGAAGGAUCAUUAGAGGGAGUGAAGCUAUUUUUCUUUGCACACUAGUUCUUUCUUUAAGGGCUUUCCUUUAAGGGCUUACUCGGCAAGCCGAGUAACUUUUUUUAAGGGCUUACUCGGCAAGCCGAGUAACUGCGUAAGACUAGCAACGUAACGUUUAACAUUUAACGUUUAUUCAACAAUUACAACUACGUAAAUUUACAUGAGCACCUUGCUGCAAUGGAUCUCUCGGCUCUUGCAUCGAUGAAGAACGCAGC